UGUGGAUAGGGGAGAAAUUCCAAUCGAACCCGGAGAUAGCUGGUUCUCCUCGAAAUAGCUUUAGGGCUAGCCUCAUACAAGUCUUGCGGAGGUAGAGCACUGAAUUUCCUAGGGGGCGUCAAAGCUUACCGAAGAAUAUCAAACUCCGAAUGCCGCGUAGAUGGUGUAUGGGAGUCAGACUGCACGAGAUAAGUUGGGUAGUCAAAAGGGAAAGAGCCCAGACCUGCAGCUAAGGUCCCAAAAUGUGUGUUAAGUGGAAAAGGAUGUGGGAUUUCGAAGACAACUAGGAUGUUGGCUCAGAAGCAGCCAUACAUUCAAAGAGUGCGUAAUAGCUCACUAGUCGAGAGGUCCUGCGCCGAAAAUGUCCGGGGCUGAAACACACUACCGAAGCUCAGGAAUGUACUUGUACAUUGGUAGAGGAGCAUUGUAUACGGGAAGAAGCAGUACCGAUAAGGAGCUGUGGACUGUAUAGAAGAGAGAAUGCCGGAAUGAGUAGCGAGAGGAAGGUGAGAAUCCUUCCGGCCGAAUAUCUAAGGUUUCCAGAGUAAAGCUGAUCUGCUCUGGGUAAGUCGGGGCCUAAGGCCAGGUCGAAAGACGUAACCGAUGGACAACAGGUUGAAAUUCCUGUACCGCGAUAUAACAGAACUGUGGGGACACGUGUGGAGAGCACAAGCCGGGAAUGGAAAGCCCGGCGCAAGCGAGGUAGGAGUCGUACUGGCAAAUCCGUACGGCAAUCCGAAGACGUGAUGCGUACCGAAAUAAGAGUAGGGAAGAGUGUGAGCCAUGCGUCAAGAAAAGCCGCUAUUGUUUGUAUCGCGCCCGUACCGUAAACCGACACAGGUGGAUGAGGAGAGAAUCCUAAGGCCGACGGGAGAAGCAUUGUUAAGGAACUCGGCAAAAUGACUCCGUAACUUCGGGAGAAGGAGUGCCACUGAGAGGUGGCCGCAGAGAAUUGGCCCAAGCAACUGUUUAGCAAAAACACAGGUCUAUGCAAAACCGAAAGGUGAAGUAUAUGGGCUGACGCCUGCCCGGUGCUGGAAGGUUAAGGGGAGAGGUUAGCGCAAGCGAAGCUUUGAACUUAAGCCCCAGUAAACGGCGGCCGUAACUAUAACGGUCCUAAGGUAGCGAAAUUCCUUGUCGGGUAAGUUCCGACCCGCACGAAAGGCGUAAUGAUUUGGGCACUGUCUCAACAAUGCACCCGGUGAAAUUGAAAUACCAGUGAAGAUGCUGGUUACCUGCGCCAGGACGGAAAGACCCCAUGGAGCUUUACUCCAGCUUGAUACUGGGAUUCGGUAUUGCAUGUACAGGAUAGGUGGGAGGCUAAGAAGCGGUAACGCCAGUUGCCGUGGAGCUGCUGUUGGGAUACCACCCUUGCAGUACUGGGUUUCUAACCAGCGGCCUUAAUCAGGUCGGGGGACAAUGUCAGGUGGGGAGUUUGACUGGGGCGGUCGCCUCCGAAAGGGUAUCGGAGGCGCUCAAAGGUUCCCUCAGAAUGGUCGGAAACCAUUCGAAGAGUGCAAAGGCAGAAGGGAGCUUGACUGCGACACCGACGGGUGGAGCAGGUACGAAAGUAGGACUUAGUGAUCCGGUGGUAUAAAGUGGGAUUGCCAUCGCUCAACGGAUAAAAGCUACCCUGGGGAUAACAGGCUUAUCACUCCCAAGAGUUCACAUCGACGGAGUGGUUUGGCACCUCGAUGUCGGCUCAUCGCAUCCUGGGGCUGAAGUAGGUCCCAAGGGUUGGGCUGUUCGCCCAUUAAAGCGGUACGCGAGCUGGGUUCAGAACGUCGUGAGACAGUUCGGUCCCUAUCCGGCGUGGGCGUAGGAUAUUUGAGAGGAGCUGUCCUUAGUACGAGAGGACCGGGAUGGACUGGCCGCUGGUUGAUCUGUUGUUCCGCCAGGAGCAUAGCAGAGUAGCCAAGCCGGGACGGGAUAAACGCUGAAGGCAUCUAAGCGUGAAGCCCCCCUCAAGAUGAGAUAUCCCAUCGCGAAAGCGAGUAAGACCCCUUGAAGACGACGAGGUAGAUAGGUUAGAGGUGGAAGUGCAGUAAUGUAUGGAGCUGACUAAUACUAAUCGGUCGAGGGCUUAUCCAA
rnacentral:rRNA from 1 species